UUAUCUGGCAAUUGGAGACGGGUUCUACUACCUUACAGAUGGAUCCCAGAUCAUUGGUGGGGUUGGCCCAUUAACUAGUGGACCCCCUGAUAGAUACUACACCGAGACGAACGCCCUCUACUUCCAUUUUAAUUCUGACCCAACAGAUGGGAACGGUGGAUAUCGAGUAGAGGUCUCGGCUAUAACAUUGCCAAUCGUCCUCAAUGACAACGACGUCCAUAUUCUAGAAUCACCAACAUACCCGAUGCCUUAUGAAAAC